UGGGGAAUUUUGGACAAUGGGCGAAAGCCUGAUCCAGCAAUGCCGCGUGUGUGAAGAAGGCCUUCGGGUUGUAAAGCACUUUUGUCCGGAAAGAAAUCCUUGGCUCUAAUACAGUCGGGGGAUGACGGUACCGGAAGAAUAAGCACCGGCUAACUACGUGCCAGCAGCCGCGGUAAUACGUAGGGUGCAAGCGUUAAUCGGAAUUACUGGGCGUAAAGCGUGCGCAGGCGGUUUGCUAAGACCGAUGUGAAAUCCCCGGGCUCAACCUGGGAACUGCAUUGGUGACUGGCAGGCUAGAGUAUGGCAGAGGGGGGUAGAAUUCCACGUGUAGCAGUGAAAUGCGUAGAGAUGUGGAGGAAUACCGAUGGCGAAGGCAGCCCCCUGGGCCAAUACUGACGCUCAUGCACGAAAGCGUGGGGAGCAAACAGGAUUAGAUACCCUGGUAGUCCACGCCCUAAACGAUGUCAACUAGUUGUUGGGGAUUCAUUUCCUAGUACGUAGCUAACGCGUGAAGUUGACCGCCGGGGGAGUACGGUCGCAAGAUUAAAACU
rnacentral:rRNA from 1 species